UUAAGCGACUAAGCGUACACGGUGGAUGCCCUGGCAGUCAGAGGCGAUGAAGGACGUGCUAAUCUGCGAUAAGCGUCGGUGAGGUGAUAUGAACCGUUAUAACCGGCGAUUUCCGAAUGGGGAAACCCAGUGUGAUUCGUCACACUAUCAUUAACUGAAUCCAUAGGUUAAUGAGGCGAACCGGGGGAACUGAAACAUCUAAGUACCCCGAGGAAAAGAAAUCAACCGAGAUUCCCCCAGUAGCGGCGAGCGAACGGGGAGGAGCCCAGAGCCUGAAUCAGUGUGUGUGUUAGUGGAAGCGUCUGGAAAGGCGCGCGAUACAGGGUGACAGCCCCGUACACAAAAAUGCACAUAUUGUGAGCUCGAUGAGUAGGGCGGGACACGUGGUAUCCUGUCUGAAUAUGGGGGGACCAUCCUCCAAGGCUAAAUACUCCUGACUGACCGAUAGUGAACCAGUACCGUGAGGGAAAGGCGAAAAGAACCCCGGCGAGGGGAGUGAAAAAGAACCUGAAACCGUGUACGUACAAGCAGUGGGAGCCUCUUAAUGGGGUGACUGCGUACCUUUUGUAUAAUGGGUCAGCGACUUAUAUUCUGUAGCAAGGUUAACCGAAUAGGGGAGCCGAAGGGAAACCGAGUCUUAACUGGGCGUUAAGUUGCAGGGUAUAGACCCGAAACCCGGUGAUCUAGCCAUGGGCAGGUUGAAGGUUGGGUAACACUAACUGGAGGACCGAACCGACUAAUGUUGAAAAAUUAGCGGAUGACUUGUGGCUGGGGGUGAAAGGCCAAUCAAACCGGGAGAUAGCUGGUUCUCCCCGAAAGCUAUUUAGGUAGCGCCUCGUGAAUUCAUCUCCGGGGGUAGAGCACUGUUUCGGCAAGGGGGUCAUCCCGACUUACCAACCCGAUGCAAACUGCGAAUACCGGAGAAUGUUAUCACGGGAGACACACGGCGGGUGCUAACGUCCGUCGUGAAGAGGGAAACAACCCAGACCGCCAGCUAAGGUCCCAAAGUCAUGGUUAAGUGGGAAACGAUGUGGGAAGGCCCAGACAGCCAGGAUGUUGGCUUAGAAGCAGCCAUCAUUUAAAGAAAGCGUAAUAGCUCACUGGUCGAGUCGGCCUGCGCGGAAGAUGUAACGGGGCUAAACCAUGCACCGAAGCUGCGGCAGCGACACUAUGUGUUGUUGGGUAGGGGAGCGUUCUGUAAGCCUGUGAAGGUGGCCUGUGAGGGUUGCUGGAGGUAUCAGAAGUGCGAAUGCUGACAUAAGUAACGAUAAAGCGGGUGAAAAGCCCGCUCGCCGGAAGACCAAGGGUUCCUGUCCAACGUUAAUCGGGGCAGGGUGAGUCGACCCCUAAGGCGAGGCCGAAAGGCGUAGUCGAUGGGAAACAGGUUAAUAUUCCUGUACUUGGUGUUACUGCGAAGGGGGGACGGAGAAGGCUAUGUUGGCCGGGCGACGGUUGUCCCGGUUUAAGCGUGUAGGCUGGUUUUCCAGGCAAAUCCGGAAAACCAAGGCUGAGGCGUGAUGACGAGGCACUACGGUGCUGAAGCGACAAAUGCCCUGCUUCCAGGAAAAGCCUCUAAGCAUCAGGUAACAUCAAAUCGUACCCCAAACCGACACAGGUGGUCAGGUAGAGAAUACCAAGGCGCUUGAGAGAACUCGGGUGAAGGAACUAGGCAAAAUGGUGCCGUAACUUCGGGAGAAGGCACGCUGAUAUGUAGGUGAAGCGACUUGCUCGUGGAGCUGAAAUCAGUCGAAGAUACCAGCUGGCUGCAACUGUUUAUUAAAAACACAGCACUGUGCAAACACGAAAGUGGACGUAUACGGUGUGACGCCUGCCCGGUGCCGGAAGGUUAAUUGAUGGGGUUAGCGGUAACGCGAAGCUCUUGAUCGAAGCCCCGGUAAACGGCGGCCGUAACUAUAACGGUCCUAAGGUAGCGAAAUUCCUUGUCGGGUAAGUUCCGACCUGCACGAAUGGCGUAAUGAUGGCCAGGCUGUCUCCACCCGAGACUCAGUGAAAUUGAACUCGCUGUGAAGAUGCAGUGUACCCGCGGCAAGACGGAAAGACCCCGUGAACCUUUACUAUAGCUUGACACUGAACAUUGAGCCUUGAUGUGUAGGAUAGGUGGGAGGCUUUGAAGUGUGGACGCCAGUCUGCAUGGAGCCGACCUUGAAAUACCACCCUUUAAUGUUUGAUGUUCUAACGUGGGCCCCUAAUCGGGGUUGCGGACAGUGUCUGGUGGGUAGUUUGACUGGGGCGGUCUCCUCCUAAAGAGUAACGGAGGAGCACGAAGGUUGGCUAAUCCUGGUCGGACAUCAGGAGGUUAGUGCAAUGGCAUAAGCCAGCUUGACUGCGAGCGUGACGGCGCGAGCAGGUGCGAAAGCAGGUCAUAGUGAUCCGGUGGUUCUGAAUGGAAGGGCCAUCGCUCAACGGAUAAAAGGUACUCCGGGGAUAACAGGCUGAUACCGCCCAAGAGUUCAUAUCGACGGCGGUGUUUGGCACCUCGAUGUCGGCUCAUCACAUCCUGGGGCUGAAGUAGGUCCCAAGGGUAUGGCUGUUCGCCAUUUAAAGUGGUACGCGAGCUGGGUUUAGAACGUCGUGAGACAGUUCGGUCCCUAUCUGCCGUGGGCGCUGGAGAACUGAGGGGGGCUGCUCCUAGUACGAGAGGACCGGAGUGGACGCAUCACUGGUGUUCGGGUUGUCAUGCCAAUGGCACUGCCCGGUAGCUAAAUGCGGAAGAGAUAAGUGCUGAAAGCAUCUAAGCACGAAACUUGCCCCGAGAUGAGUUCUCCCUGACUCCUUGAGAGUCCUGAAGGAACGUUGAAGACGACGACGUUGAUAGGCCGGGUGUGUAAGCGCAGCGAUGCGUUGAGCUAACCGGUACUAAUGAACCGUGAGGCUUAACCU
rnacentral:rRNA from 1 species